AGAGUUUGAUCCUGGCUCAGGACGAACGCUGGCGGCGUGCCUAACACAUGCAAGUCGAACGGACCAUAUUUGUGAUAGAAAUAUUAUAGAUAUGUUAGUGGCGGACGGGUGAGUAACACAUGAGUAACCUACCUUAUACAGGGGGAUAACACUUAGAAAUAGGUGCUAAUACCGCAUAAUAACUCUUAGUGGCAUCACGAAGAGAGGAAAGGAGAAAUCCAGUAAAAGAUGGGCUCAUGUUCGAUUAGCUAGUUGGUGGGGUAAAGGCUCACCAAGGCGACGAUCGAUAGCCGAACUGAGAGGUUGAACGGCCACAUUGGAACUGAGAGACGGUCCAGACUCCUACGGGAGGCAGCAGGUGGGGAUAUUGCGCAAUGGGGGAACCCUGACGCAGCAACGCCGUGUGAAGGAAGAAGGCUUUAGGGUUGUAAACUUCUUUGAUUAGGGACGAAUAAAUGACUGUACCUAAGGAACAAGCCACGGCUAACUACGUGCC
rnacentral:rRNA from 1 species